GCCAGAAUGAGCCUCUGAAGACUGAGCGGCCCCAUGCCAGAAUGAGCCUCUGAAGACUGAGAGGCCCCAUGCCAGAAUGAGCCUCUGAAGACUGAGCGGCCCCAUGCCAGAAUGAGCCUCUGAAGACUGAGCGGCCCCAUGCCAGAAUGAGCCUCUGAAGACUGAGCGGCCCCAUGCCAGAAUGAGCCUCUGAAGACUGAGAGGCCCCAUGCCAGAAUGAGCCUCUGAAGACUGAGCGGCCCCAUGCCAGAAUGAGCCUCUGAAGACUGAGAGGCCCCAUGCCAGAAUGAGGCAUUCCAUUUGUAGGGCUGUAGCCACUGGUAGUUGUCACUUGCAAGAUACAACAUUUUACGCUGGCACUGUGCUGCCUCUCGCCCCUAAGUGUUGCUUCAGUAAAUGGUCCUUGCUAUCCAGGAUCCGUGAGACAUCGCUACCGCGACAGCGUAGCCUAGUGGUUAGAGCGUUGGACUAGUAACCGGAAGGUUGCGAGUUCAAACCCCCGAGCUGACAAUGUACAAAUCUGUCGUUCUGCCCCUGAACAGGCAGUUAACCCACUGUUCCCAGGCCGUCAUUGAAAAUAAGAAUUUGUUCUUAACUGACUUGCCUGGUUAACUAAAGGUAAAAUAAAAAAUAAAAACCGCAUAGUUUUGAAACACCAUGUAAACACAGAAUGUAAAGCAAAUUUUCUUUUUUUGUCUACCUGCCAUUUUCUUUGUUGGACUUUUUGUCAUCUUCUUUUUUAGACAAAUGAGUGAAUUGUCUUAUUUAUAUUUUAAUAUUUUUUUCCAUUUUUUUCCCCAUUUUGACUCUUAUCCAAGUGCUUACAGUUUUGUGGAUGUUUUUGUGAUAUUCAUUUUUCUGAGCAGAUGUUAGUUUCCACCAUUUUUGGAGGUUGAUUUAUUUAGUUUAUUUUUGCUUUUUUAUCUUGGGAGGAUUAACACAUUUUUUGAAGAAGUCUUCAGACUUCUCCCAUUUGUGGACUGCCUCAAAGGAGUUUCUUUCUGGCAUACUUUGGAGUGUCUUUGGAACAAAGGGUGCUGCGUCUCUGUGUCAACCGGCUGAGCAUGCGCCCCAAAAGCAGAAUGGUCUUUCUGUCCUCUCUGCCAUGUUUGAUGGAACUCUACAGAAACUACCAUGGUGGUUUCCAGCUUCAGCCAGACUGGGACAGACGGGGAAGGGGAAACAAGUGAACAGACAUUCGCCAGGACAAUCGCAGAAUGGUCACCAUGGAAACAUACCACCUGUACCAGUUCAGGAUAUGAGAUCGCCACGUUGACCAUCUUUACGACGAAACAGUCUCUGGGUGUGGUAUGAGCUGGUUUCUGCAGUCUCUGCAGCGUGUGACCCAUCAGCAUGCAGUGUUCAGCAACAAGGCCAAAGACCCCGUGGUGUUUGUCAAGAUCCUCACUGUCAGGCGUUACACAAGUACUACACACAGGAUUUUUAUUGAACCUUUUAUUGAACUAGGAAAGUCAUUUUAAGGACAAAUUCUUAUUUACAAUGACGGUCUACACCGGCCAAACCCGGACGACGCUGGGCCAAUUGUGCGCCGUCCUAUGGGGACUCGCAAUCACAACCAUAUGUGAUGCAUUCUGGAUUCGAACCAGAGACUGUAGUGACGCCUCUUGCACUGAGAUGUAGUGCCUUAGACUGCUGCGCCACUCGAGAGCUCAGUACUGCUGGCCUGUCUACAAGAAUGUUCUGAGGUGCAGUUCACCCAUCCACUGGAAAUGGAAAUGAUUUGAAAUGGUGGUGUUCAAACCAGAACGCAUGUCGACUUAAAGAGGAUGAGGAUUCCCCUGAUGCAGGUGGUUCGCUCCAGCUAGGCUGCAAUGGAAGGGAAUGGUCUAUUCCCAGAGGAGAGGAUCAUGGGUACCUCGGGACCAAUAAGGAUGGGUACCUCGGGACCAAUAAGCAUGGGUACCUAACCUGGGACCAAUAAGUUUGCUUCUCUAGAGCAAAAAGGUUAAUGGUUGUUUGCAUAGCAAACAGGAAAUACUGCAAAAUUAAAAUGUUUUUUUACACA